GCCGGGUAUGGUGGUGCACACCUGUAAUCCCAGCUACUUGGGAGGCUGAGGCAGGAGAAUUGCUUGUACCCAGGAGGUGGAGGAUGCAGUGAACGAAGAUCAUUUUACUGCACUCCAGCCUGGGUGGCAUAGUGAGACUCUGUCUCAA
rfam:Nomascus leucogenys chromosome 17, whole genome shotgun sequence.